rnacentral:lncRNA from 1 species
ACCGCCACGGUGACUUGCAAGCAACUCAUUGCACUUAGGCACUGGACUACCUGAAUUUUUAAUUCAGUGAUGGAAGGCUGCUGGGUGUAGUCAAGUACUUGACUUAUCGGUGCGUGUGUCAAGAUGGGAUUGACCACUCCAGUUUAGGAGCUGUGUAUAGUCGUGUUUCAAUUUAGUAAAAUCUUGUCCAGGGUAGUCCUUGUGAGGAGUCACAGGACUAUUUGAGUUGAGCAUGAUUCGGAUGAUCUGAUCAGGGUUGAUAGUUUAACCCUAAGUCGUCCUAAAC